UGGGUUUUGGGGAGCUCGAACCGCGUCCGAGUUGUAGCGGCCCUUCUUUCUCUCGCCUUUGCUCUCGUAAAGCCGAGAGCGAGGAAAGGAAACCCUCUCUCGGAUCUGCAACAAGGCCUCCCAGAUCUCAAUUGGAGACACUGCUUCUUUACUGCUACCUCGGCUUGAUUUACGGGCAUUGAUCUGUACCAGAGAGCAGUUCUUGUGCUUAUUGCGGGUUUCUUUUGUUCCGAUCAGCGUAAGAGCUUGUAAUAUUGCCGGUUCGUAGAACAGAGGCCAUGGCGGCAAGAAGAGCAGCAAAUCCGUCUCGACGCUUGGCUGACGGUGGAAGCGUUCCGCUCGUCAGCUCACUGCAUCAGAAAUCACGAACGCCUCCAUUACUAUCGAUUGGGCUGGUUAUUGUGGGUGCUUUUCUUCUCAUUGGUUACUCCUAUAGAGACUCAGGUCGAUUUGCCAGCGAGAGGGAAGCUAUAAGCAGGGAUGAAGGAGGUUCCUGUACAUCAGACAUUCUACAAGCAAUACCCAUUCUAAAGAAAGCAUAUGGAAACAGCAUGCGUAAAGUUUUGCAUGUAGGCCCUGAGACCUGUAAAGUGGUUGCUAAGUUGUUGAAAGAAGAUGACAUUGAAGCCUGGGGUGUGGAACCUUAUGACUUGGAGGAUGUCGAUAGUAUCUGCAAGACCCUUGUGCACAAAGGCUUUGUCCGUUUAGCUGAUAUCAAGUUUCCUCUACCAUACAGACCAAAAUCAUUUUCCCUUGUCAUAGUGUCAGAUGCGCUGGAUUACUUAUCUCCGAAGUAUCUUAACGCAACCCUUCCAGAUUUGGCAAGGGUAUCUGCAGAUGGUCUUGUUAUAUUUGCUGGCUAUCCAGGUCAGCAGAGAGCUAAGGUUUCUGAGCUGUCAAAAUUUGGAAGGCCGGCCAAACUACGGAGUUCAUCCUGGUGGAUACGGUAUUUUGUUCAGACUGGCGUGGAAGAGAAUGAAUCUAUCAUGAAGAAGUUUGAGCAGGCUGCAACCAAGCGGUCAUACAAACCGAGCUGCCAAAUUUUCCAUCUCAGCUCAUAGUGUUCAUCCUGGCAUAUCUUGUGGGACGUUCACAAAAAUCAGAGCACAACAGGGCCUCUGUAAAACUCUACCAUGUCAGUACUCCUACCAGAAACAGAAGAGGCAGAGUCCCAUAAUGGACUGUCGUAGUUCCUAGAUUUGAGGUGAACAAAUGAUAAGUACUGUCACUUAUUUCAGAUUUAUGGUUUAGCCAUGUUCAUUAUGUGAUCUGUUUCCUCGGUGGAACUUAGUGGUCGUGCACCUGUUAAAGCCUGCUGUCUGCGGAUAUCUGGUCUUUCAUCCAUCUCCGGCAUUUUUAGAGUGUGAUAUGAAACAUGGGUCUUGAUAUUAUGCUGUUCAACAAAAGCUUUCAGUUAUUUGUUAUGGGACAUCCAUUGAAAUCAAGAUUAAUUUCAAAAGGUUACACCUUAAGCGACCAAAAAGUGUAGUUGAGCAUUGUUUUUU